rnacentral:rRNA from 1 species
CCUACGGGAGGCAGCAGUGGGGAAUAUUGCACAAUGGGGGAAACCCUGAUGCAGCGACGCCGCGUGAAGGAAGAAGUAUCUCGGUAUGUAAACUUCUAUCAGCAGGGAAGAAAAUGCCGGUAACUGACUAAGAAGCCCCGGCUAACUACGUGCCAGCAGCCGCGGUAAUACGUAGGGGUCAAGCGUUAUGCGGAUUUACUGGGUGUAAAGGGAGCGGAGACGGAAGAGCAAGUCAGAUGUGAAAGGCUCGGGCUUAACCCCAGGACUGCAUUGGAAACUGGUAUUCGAGAGUGCCGGAGAGGGGAGCAGAAUUCCAAGUGUAGCGGUGAAAUGCGUAGAGAUUAGGAGGAACACCAGUGGCGAAGGCGGCUUACUGGACGGUAACUGACGUUGAGGCGCGAAAGCGUGGGGAGCAAACAGGAUUAGAUACCCGGGUAGUC